AUUGAACGCUGGCGGCAGGCCUAACACAUGCAAGUCGAACGGUAACAGGGAUCAGCUUGCUGAUUCGCUGACGAGUGGCGGACGGGUGAGUAAUGUCUGGGAAACUGCCUGAUGGAGGGGGAUAACUACUGGAAACGGUAGCUAAUACCGCAUAACGUCGCAAGACCAAAGAGGGGGACCUUCGGGCCUCUUGCCAUCGGAUGUGCACAGAUGGGAUUAGCUAGUAGGUGGGGUAACGGCUCACCUAGGCGACGAUCCCUAGCUGGUCUGAGAGGAUGACCAGCCACACUGGAACUGAGACACGGUCCAGACUCCUACGGGAGGCAGCAGUGGGGAAUAUUGCACAAUGGGCGCAAGCCUGAUGCAGCCAUGCCGCGUGUAUGAAGAAGGCCUUCGGGUUGUAAAGUACUUUCAGCGGGGAGGAAGGGAGUAAAGUUAAUACCUUUGCUCAUUGACGUUACCCGCGGAAGAAGCACCGGCUAACUCCGUG
rnacentral:rRNA from 1 species